UCGGGAAUAUUGCGCAAUGGAGGAAACUCUGACGCAGUGACGCCGCGUGCAGGAAGAAGGUUUUCGGAUUGUAAACUGCUUUAGACAGGGAAGAUAACGACAGUACCUGUAGAAUAAGCUCCGGCUAACUACGUGCCAGCAGCCGCGGUAAUACGUAGGGAGCAAGCGUUAUCCGGAUUUAUUGGGUGUAAAGGGUGCGUAGACGGGAAGGCAAGUUAGUUGUGAAAUCCCUCGGCUUAACUGAGGAACUGCAACUAAAACUAUCUUUCUUGAGUGUUGGAGAGGAAAGUGGAAUUCCUAGUGUAGCGGUGAAAUGCGUAGAUAUUAGGAGGAACACCAGUGGCGAAGGCGACUUUCUGGACAAUAACUGACGUUGAGGCACGAAAGUGUGGGGAGCAAACAGGAUUAGAUACCC
rnacentral:rRNA from 1 species